rnacentral:rRNA from 1 species
UACGUAGGGGGCAAGCGUUGUCCGGAUUUAUUGGGCGUAAAGAGCGUGUAGGCGGCCAAGCAGGUCCGCUGUGAAAACUGGAGGCUCAACCUUCAGAGGUCGACCGAAACCAUCUGGCUAGAGUCCGGGAGAGGAGAGUGGAAUUCCUGGUGUAGCGGUGAAAUGCGCAGAUAUCAGGAAGAACACCCGUGGCGAAAGCGGCUCUCUGGAACGGUACUGACGCUGAGACGCGAAAGCGUGGGGAGCGAACAGG